rnacentral:rRNA from 1 species
AUUGAACUCUGGCGGCAGGCCUAACACCUGCACGUCGAGCGAGCGGCGGACGGGUGAGUAAUGUCUGGGACACUGCAUGAUGGAGGGGGAUAACUACUGGAAACGGUAGCUAAUACCGCAUACCGUCGGAUGUGCCCACAUGGGAGUAGCUAGUAGGUGGGGUAAAGGUUAACCUAGGCGACGAUCCCUAGCUGGUCUGAGAGGAUGACCAGCCAUAUGGGAACUGAGAUACUUGCCAGACUCUUCCGGUGUGCUGUAGUGGGGAAUAUUGCACAAUGGGCGCAAGCCUGAUGCAGCCAUGCCGCGGGUGUGAAGAAGGCCUUCCGGUUGUAUAGCACGUUCUGCUGGGAGUCGUUACCCGCAGAAGAAGCACCGUCUAACUCCGUGCCUGCAGCCGCGGUAAUAC